CCCCACUAUAAAAGACGAUUACAGAUUGAUCUGCGUCGCACUGCUCGAGUUGGCUCACUAACGUUCUUACUAACGAUUACAGAAAUCUCUUACUAUUUUUUCAACCAGAAAACAGAAAUCGGAAGUAUUAUGUCUGGAAAAGGUGAAGGCCAAGCUAGUAACGACAACAAGUCUGCCCAGGGUAAUCCAACAAGCACUAAAUAUGAAGGACAUCAGCCUGGUUACACUGGAACCGGGACUAAGCCAGACCUGAACAACCACUCCAACCAAAAGAAUUCAAACAAUCCAGAAUAUAAGGGAUCGGAAAAACAAUGAAUAAUUAAACCAUGUAUUAAUAUAUGUCAAUGAAAUUUGCUGUAUGAACAUUGUGAUCAACUAAAUUAUUCCAAAUUUAA